GGCGCGGCCGGCCCGGCCCCGUCAGCUGCGGGCCGCGCGUCCUGUCUCCUAGGCAGCGCGGGGGCACUUCCGGCGCCUCCUGAUGACGUUACGGCGCCGGCCGGAACACUGGCGCGUGAGUGGAAGCUUGCUCGCUCGUGGGGUCUCGUUGUGCAGCUGCGUGGGCCUUGGGCUGGAAAACGCAGAUUCCUGGUUCCUGCGUUUUUCAAACAAGCAUCUCUGGUGGUGCUGGUGCAGACGGCCAGCGAACUCUGGUUUGAAAAACGGGGCCCUGCCGAAGACACCCUUCACAGGUGACACCGAGCUUAAAAGUGCAAAGUCCCUUUUCCGGGUUCGCAUCUGGGACAUACUAGCGAUUCUCGAACUCAAGUGUCUCCUUCUGGAGCCAGAAACAUGCAGUUACACUGCGUAGGCCUCGGCUAAAGUUACUCUGAAUUACCUAAAGCCACACUGGGAAGAAAACAGACGCUUGGGAUCCCAAGAAGUGUACCUGGUUAGUGCUUACUGCAUACCUUCCCAGUCCCCCUAUUAUUUCCUGAGUUCUGUGCAUCCCCAUUUCAAAAGCUUCCCAGGCUCCCCUCCAUAUCGCUUCUCUGCUGCCAAAGCCAAGGACAAGGGAGACCAGAUGGAGACCAAGGGUUUCACAAGAAACUGAUCUUUACUCAACAAAGUUCUACACAAGUGGAAUCUCACGCCACCUCGGCGCCAAUCCCCAGCACAGCACAGUAACAAAUGGACAGACCCUGGAGC